GCCUGGGUGGCUCAGUCAGUUGAGCAUCUGACUUCAGUUCAGGUCAUGAUCUCAUGAUUCGUGAGUUCGAGCCCUGCGUCGGGCU
rnacentral:tRNA from 1 species